rnacentral:rRNA from 1 species
AAAGGAAUAGACGGGGACCCGCACAAGCAGUGGAUCAUGCGGUUUAAUUCGAUACUAAACGAGAAACCUCACCUAGGCUUGACAUUGAUAAAAUCCACCAGAAAUGGAGGAGUGCCCGCAAGGGAAUUUGAAAACAGGUGCUGCAUGGUUGUCGUCAGCUCGUGCCUUGAGGUGUUCGGUUAAGUCCGUUAACGAGCGCAACCCAUGUCGAUAGUUAUUAUGUCUAUCGAGACUGCUCGAGUUAAUCGAGAGGAAGGUGUGGAUGACGUCAAAUCAGCAUGGCCCUUAUGCCUAGGGCUACACGCAUGAUACAAUGGUCGGUACAAAGGGUUGCGACAUGGUAACAUUGAGCCAAUCCCAGAAAGCCGAUCUCAGUCCAGAUUGGGGGCUGCAACUCGCCCCCAUGAAGUUGGAAUUGCUAGUAAUCGUGAAUCAGCUAUGUCACGGUGAAUCUGUUCCCGGGUCUUGUACACACCGCCCGU